UACGGAGGGUGCAAGCGUUAUCCGGAUUCACUGGGUUUAAAGGGAGCGUAGGCGGGCUAUCAAGUCUGGGGUGAAAUCCCGCGGCUCAACCGUGGAACUGCCUCAGAUACUGACGGCCUCGAGGGAGAUAGGGGCAUGCGGAACUGUAGGUGGAGCGGUGAAAUGCGUUGAUAUCUACAGGAACUCCGGUGGCGAAAGCGGCGUGCUGGAUCUCUUCUGACGCUGGAGGCUCGAAAGCUAGGGGAGCAAACGGG
rnacentral:rRNA from 1 species